GCUUAUACAUGGUGUUUUAUCCUUUUUAAGAUAUUUCUUGGGGUUUCCAAGUCGUUUGAAGUUUAGAAAAGCUUGAAGAGAUUGUUUUCGCCGAAAAGUUGCUCGGUAGAGAAAGAAAUGUGUGAAUGACAUGAGGAGAACUGAAGCAUGGUCCUGACCCUGAUUUGUACAUAUGAACAUAUCGACCUUUUGUGGGUUAUUUCAGUUAUCAGUGAGAUGUUUGUAAUAAAGUGUGAAGUUAUGUUUUGAAAAUAAAUUGGGUUAUUUAAUACUUA